GGAGGCUAGCGUGCAGCCAGACGGCGUGGUGGAGCGAGAAGGACCCGGCUAGGGACGUUCCCGCGUUGUCGUUGAGUGCUGGUGUUAUCAGGAGACGAAAGGGGAAUAUUUGAGGAGAUUGGACGCUGAAAAUUAGCCAAGAACUGCUGAUGCGUUAUUGAGUCGGCACGUAGGCAGAUCGUCCCCCCAUCGGCCACCACGUGAAUGCAGAACAAUAUUGAGAAAAAAGGUAGCCAGAGUGAAUGUGAGAUCCUGAAUUCUAGGAGGAUAUUCUAGACAUCGUUGAGAACAUAAUCUUUACGUUCUAAAACCCUAGGUUAUCAGAACAUUAUUCAGUUGGGUUUGGCAUCUCUUCUAGAAUGUUAUGGUGUCAGCAUCCGUGGAGCUGUCUGGGUGGAAAAUGCCACUCUGCAGAGUCCCCAGUUGAGAAAAAUGCCUGUCUCUUUCUUGCCCACUUGACCUAGAUACCUCUUGUCUCUCCUCACCCCCCAAAUAAAUACUGGACCAAAUGUGCUACAAAGAGGGCCCCUGAGUAGACUAUGCAGGCACGUCACAUUAGGCAGCUGAGUCAGAAGGUGGAAUUGGUCACUGAAUCGCGUUGCCUCUUGAGUCCCGGGGGGAUGUCAUUCCAAAAGAGUGGGUUUCAGGGCUCUCAGAUAAGAACACAAGUGGCUCUGGGGAAGGGAACUGUGCGCCUGGUGUCGUCCGCCUUGUGUUGUACCCAUGGUGGCUACUACCCGGGCCGUCAGGAGAUGGCUACAUUCCACGUGUGGCUCAGUGGGGGCUUGUCCUAGACUGUGGCCCUGCCGGCUCCCACGUGACCAGUCUCACCAGCCCAAGGCUAGAGGCUAUGAGAGAAGGUGGAAAGUGACAGCUGAAAACAGGGAGGACUACCAGGCUCAUGGUCGCUGGGGCUGCAGCUUUGAGGAGCCCUGUGUCUGGAGCUGCUGCUUGUAGGGACCCUCAGCCUGUCCUCCGGUCCCCUAAGGAAAUGCCCAAGGACCUUUACUACUACUCUUAGAGAGGCAGGAUAGGGGAGGGCAGCCUGAAGGCUGACCGCCUGGGUUCAAAGUCUGGGCUCGUUGCUUGCUGGCUGUGCCUAUAUAACUUGAGGCUCCGAUUCGGGCUCCUGCACUGCAUUUAACUGUUAUGUCUCCCCAGGAUCUUCCCAUCUCUGAUGGUUCCACAGUCUUUGUCUCAUGACUUGGGACUGGUGAAGAGUACUUGGCAGGCAUGCUAUACAAUAUUCCUCAACUUGAGUUUGAUGUUUUUCAUUUGAUUAGACAGGUUAUGGAUUUGGGGAAAGAAUAUCACAGUGGUCAUAUGCCCUUCUCAUUUGGGGGUACAUGAUAUACCUGUGUUUUAUCACAGGUGACAGCAAUCUUGAUCAUCUGGCUAAGGUGGAAUCUACCAGGUUUCUGCAAAGUAAAGUUACUAUUUUUUCCUUUCCAUACACAUAGUGUUACAGGAUUGCAGGGUUCUUGUCUCACGGAGUCGAAGAAUGAAUCUCGCGGACACAAAAGGGUGAAGUGAAGUGAAGUGAGUUUAUUUAGUGAAGGGGGGAACAGAAAGGAAAGAAAAAAGCUUUCUAGAGUGAGAGGGGUCCUGAAUGGGUUGCCACUGUGAGCUUUCCUGGUAGUCUUUUAUUGAGAACUGACUAGGGAACUUAAAUCUUGAUGUCUCUACCACUAAGACAACGGUGUUUACUUUUUCUUUGACGUUUGGUAAUUUUCAGUGGUCCAGCUGUAGCUGUUACAGAGAUAUCUUGUCUCUGACAUUUAAGACAAACGAGGUACUCUUGUUAGUCUCAUUAUAUUCCCUUAUCUCUGGCUUUGUACGCCUUAGCAUUUUCCACAUCGAGGAUUUCUAUGAACCUGAACACGUAGCCCCCUGCGUGAGCCUAGUCAUGUAGCCCCCUACCUAUCUCUCCCUACCUAGCCCCACCUAUCCCUUACUCAAUAGGAUACAUGUUUUUUUUCUUAAGUAGGCGCCACGUCCAGUGUGGAGCCCAACAUGGGGGUUGAACUCAUGGUCCUGAGAUCAAGACCUAAGCUGAGAUCAAGAGUCGGACACUUAACCGACUGAGCUACCCAGGUCCCCCCACAUAGAAUAUUUUAAAUCUGUAUGACCACCUUGCGGGUUUGAUUAACCCUAUUUUACAUGAGGAAACUUGAGAUAUCUGCUGUAAUUUUAUAGUGAAGUCGUGGAAAGCUCACAGAAUUUUAGAAAUUACCUCUUUUCUUCAACAAAUGAGGAAACCAAGACCUGGAAAGAUUAAAUGACAUAGCCAAGAUCACUCAGCUGCAGAACCAAACUAGACCCCAGGUUUUCGGAUUUCCAGGGAGGGACUUGAAUGCGUAACUAGGACUCCAGUAAUGUGGGCUAGGUGUAAGAUCGCUGGAUCCUUGCAUAUAAAUAGUGAGGGCUCCCCUUCCCUUAGCUCUGACUGGAGAGGAAUUUAAUACCACAGCCCUGCUAGAAACAACUGUCAAGAAGCAGCUGUCGAAUUCUGGCCGGCCUUUCUGGGGCACUGCAGUCUUUUGCGAGGCUGGUCAUAAGACAGGCAGAUCUGAUAUCAGAUGCCAUCCUUUCUUUCUCCUAGAAUGCUCUUUAUAUGGCUUCCAUUGUCUGUGGUUAAUAUGGUAAUCUGUUUCCAGUGGAGUUGCUAGUGGCUUUCUGUGUCCUGGGCCUAGAAGUUAUUUUAGUCUAGGGUGCUGCCCCUGGGAUUUACGCAAGGCAUUCAGGAGGUUUGGUAGGUGGAAAUCUUAAAAGCAGAGUGGAAAGGUUGAUGUUGUCAUAGGAAUUCCAUUUCCCAGAAGGCUCUUGGGUAGGAUGGUCAAUUAUGGAUGAAAAACCAUUAAGCUCCAGAUAUUUAUGUGUUUUGACUGUGUUUCUGCUGCCUAUGAUUAUGAUACCCCGAUACUGAAAGAGGUGUGAAAAAGAGAAAGAACCCUGCCCACAGACCAAACUCCAGAAUUGCGAUUUUCUCUAUGGCUGUGGUGAUUGGAUUCAUGUUUUUUUCUUUAAGGUUUUUAUUUAUUCAUUUGAGAGAGAGAGAGAGUGAGAACACACAUGCAGGAGCAAAGGAGAGGCAGAGAGAGAGAAGCAGACUCCCUGCUGAGCAGGGAGUCUGAUGCAGGCUGAUCCCAGCACCUGGAGAUCAGGACCUGAGCCGAAGGCAGACAUUUAACAGACUGAGUCACCCAGGCACCCCCAGAUUCACUGGUUUUAGUUAACCAGGAUAUAGGGCCCAGCGCAACUUUAAGACAAACUCUUGGUGACAGACUGUGCUUUCUCCUCUAGGGAGCCUUUAGGAGAAUGGCCUGAUCUGGGAUUGGCCCUGGUCGUGUUGACACAUGGGAGUUCACCUAUUCUGAAGUGAGCUGUGCCCAGAACAUAGUUAGUCCUAUAGGUCAGUCUCAAGUACAGUCAGCCUCCUUGGACGGACAAUGUCUUGGUACCUAGUCAAACUGGAGCCAAAUCUUGGGAUCACUUCUAUGAGGAACCGACCACCUCAGAUUUACCACAGCCAGGAUCUUCUGGAUAACUCAGAUCUGGGAAGAGAAGGAUGGUGACCAAGCCGACCUUCCAAACGCAUGAAGGACUUUCUCUGGUCCCUAUACAGGUCAUCUGCCCUAAAAUAAAUGCCCCCAUCAACAUGUAAACAUGUAUUCUAUUUUUUUUUUUUAAGAUUUUAUUUAUUUGACAGAGAGACAGUGAGAGAGGGAACAAAAGCAGGGGGAGUGGGAGAGGGAGAAGCGGGCCUCCCACGGAGCAGGGAGCCCGAUGCGGGGCUAGAUCCCAGGACCCUGGGAUCAGGACCUGAGCCGAAGGCAGACGCUUAACCGACUGAACCACCCAGGCACCCCACGUGUAUUCUGUUUCUUAGUGUGAGCCCUCCUGAAGGCUCUCUGGUCAGCUGCUGCCGUCAGGUAAGACCUCUGUGGUGAAGGAACAACAAAGUGCUGCCACAGUGUGGGUGUGUAGGGCCAGGGGCUGCUGGCCUGGUGCUCAGAGUACGACUGAACUCAAGGGCUUUGCCGUUUGGUGUGCAUUAAAUUGAACACAACCCAAGUAAGUUGAAAACAAAGACCUUUUUAUUACUUGUUACAAGUAAGGACGGGAAGAUAGCUCUCAAAGUACUGUCUUCCUGUGGGGUUAGUACAAGAAGCUUUAACUCUGUAUUGGGGGGCAGGAGCAGGGAACUUGUAUAUACAUUAAGAAACUUAGAGAUAUUCUAUGCUUAGGCACUUUGGUUCAACUGAGCAUGCCUAGCAUGUCAACAUGCUAGUGCAUACAUUGUAUGUUCAAAAAUGGCAGAAAACUCAGCCCGUGGGAGGAGAUCUUAGUAUUAUAAUGAGCUAAAGUUAACUUUAGGACAACUCAGGGGGGCUUCUUUGGCAGGUCCUCAGCUCCAAACCAGCCAAAACUGGCUCACAUAAGAGGCCAUCUGGUGAACCACCUGGCUGGGGAGUCUCCUUGGCUGGCUGCUGGUUCUGCAAGACAAAGCACAUUGCUUCCCAGCUUUUGUUCCUUCCCUCUCCUCCCUUCUGCUGAUGGCUUUCAGCCCUCAGAUCUGACUAACUCUCCUUUGUGUCCUAGCCAACAAGAGGAUGGGAUUUGUGUCCCUGAAGUAGAGGACUUGACGUGGUCCAGCGCUUCUCAGGUGAAGAAGAGCUGAUCUGAGGAACAUUCUGAAGUGGUCUGCAGCAUUAAAAUCGAGAUGAACGGGUGGUCACAGAAGAUGGCUGCUUCUUGAGGCCUAGGACAAAGAUCUGCUCCACCACACACUUGCUGGGAUAACGACCUCUUUUGUCGGCACAACUGGAAUAUGGAUAUUAGGUGGUAUUAGGAAAAUGAGAGGAAUAGGGGUUUGGACUGGUUAUUAGGUCAACAUCCUAGCCUUGGGAGUUCUCCUCCCAUCUUUCCCUAUGGAGGCAUGAACCAUAUGGUUAUCAUGUUUACUAGGAUGAAGAGAUGGAAACGAUGAUUCCCUGUGCCGAGGACUGCCUAACCAGUAGACAAACCAGAAUCCAUUUAACAAGCCAUUUGGAGAGAAAUCACCUAAGGACACUGAAGUCUCAAAUGUGACUUGGACACUGCAAUCAGAUUUUAAGAAAUCGGAUACUUAACGAAUUGCUGAAUGGGCAGAUAAAUGGGAUUAAUCAGAACUUAAACUGAAUUUUUUAUUUUUUAGAGAGUGAAGAACAGGAAGAUGGAGACAAUAAGGAAGGAAGGUUCACAGGGGGAUUGAAAAAUACUUCAGAGAAACUCCAGACCAAGAUGGCAACAUAAGAGGCCCCUGAAUUUCCUUCCUCCCACAGAUGCACCAAAUGUAAAGCUGUGGAGCAAUUCCCUCUUAGAGAUACAGAAACUAGCUGAGUGACUCUUAUACAUCAGGUGACUGAGGAAAUAGCCACAUCAAAUCAGGUAGGAAAGGCUGAAACACGCUUACCGUGACCACUACCCCGGGGACAGUGCCAUACAAUUAGGAGGGGAACUCCCAACUUCUCCCUGAAGAGUGAAAGGUUUGGACCACACUCCUACUGCCCCGGUGUUAAGACCCCCACCUGAGUAUGGGACCCCAAAUCACCUAUCAAUAAUUACUUUAAGUAACUUGAACUAAAUCCUCCAAUCAAUAGAGACAGAGUUGCUGAAUGGUUAAAAAGUCAAGACCCAACUAUAUGCUGCCUAUAAGAGACCCACUUCAGCUUUAAGGACACAUACAGACUGAAAGUGAAGGGAUGGAAAAUGAUAUUCCAUGCAAAUGGAGACCAAAAAAUAGCAGGGGUAGCUAAUAUUUAUAUCAGACAAAACAGACUUUAUGCCAGAAACUGUAAUAAGAGACAACAAAGAUAGUUAUAUAAUGGGUCAAUUCACUAAGAGGCUAUAUAACAUUUGUAAGUAUUUAUGCACCCAGUAUUAGAGCACCUAAAUAUAUAAAGCAAAUAUUAGCAGAUCUGAAGGUUGAAAUAGAUGGCAACACAGUAAUAGCAGAGGACUUACAUACCCCAUUUUCAACAAUGAAUAGAUCAUCCAGACAGAAAAUCAGUAAGGAAAAUGUGAACUUAAACUACAUGUUAGACCAGAUAAACUUAAUAGAUAUAUACAGAACAUUCCAUUCAACAGCAGAAAAAUACAUAUUGUUCUCAAGCACACAUGGAACUUUCUCCAGGACAGACCAUACGUUAAACUAAAAACAAGUCUUACCAAAUUUAAAAAGACUGAAAUUAUAUUAAGCAUCUUUUAUGACCAUAAUGGUAGGUGAGGAGGUAUCAAUUACAAGAAGAAAACUGGAAAAUUCACAAAUAUAUGGAGAUUAAAUAACAUGCCCCUAAAUAACCAAUGGGUCAAACAAAAAAAUAAAAGGUAAAUAAAAUAUCUUAGAUUAAAAUGGAAACAUAAUAUACCAAAACUUAUGGGAUGCAGCGAAAGCAAUUCUAAGGGGGGAGUUUAUAGCAAUAAGUGCCUAUAUUAAGAAAAAGAAAAAUCUUAAAUAAACAAUCUACUUUUACACCUCAAGGAACUAUAAAAUGAAGAACAAACUAAGCCCAAAGUUAGUAGGAGGAAGGAAAUAACAAAGAUCAGAGUGAAAAUAAAUGGAACAGAGGCUAAAAAGAUCAAUAGGAAAGAUCAAUGAAACUAAGAGCUAGUUUAAAAAAAAAUAAA